UUCGGUAUUCUUGCUGGGAAAAUCCCAUGGACAGAGGAGCCGGAGCGCUACAGUCUGUGGGGCUGGAGGUAAAUAUCUCCCACCUCUGAACUCCCACAACAUUUAUCUGUUAUGCUUUGUAUUCUGGCAUUUGUGUGAAGUUGAAUCACCUUUAAGAGACUGAAUUCCUUGAGCAGAAGGAACAUGCCUCUCAUCUUUCAUCCCUGCUGCCUAACACAAUGCCUAGCACGUUGCAGGUGUCAUUAAGUGUUGUGUUUUAGAAUAAUGAUAGAAGGCUGAAUUACUAUUAGAUAAAUCAUUCUAGCCUUUGGCUAUCUGUUCUGGACAUACUUUAGUGAAUGAGAAUGUCUACCCGGAAGAAACUAGUAAACUGGAGAUAUCAAGAAAGAAUAUUUGACCACAUUUUGGAAGCAGGCAAUUUCUGACACUGUGUGAAAAACAAACAAUUUUAGUCACUAGUACUGGCAACUCACCUGCCAAGAAUUCACAGAAGUUUGCAGAUUGCUCAGACCUGAAUGGCUUUUUAAGGCCAUUCCAAGGGAUUUAUGGAAAGUUCAUCAGUGUGACUGGGAAAUGUAUGAAGAGGGGAAGGGGCAAAAUUUAUACAAAGCAUAUUCCUGUCUUAAGAGAAUUUAAGUGUUGUUAGGAAAAUAAGGCUUAUACAUUUUGAACAAUAAGAGUAAACAGUAAAUCAGGAUCCAAAUUGAGGCCAAGAAGAGGGAGAGUCAAAAUGGAAGGCCUGAGAUUGGGCUUGGUAGGCAUUAGUGAAAAAAGAAUAAAAAUCUCUGUCACAAGACCCUGAAGUCUCAGUUGAUGUAUGUAACUUGGAUCUAAGCCUCACUUUUCUCACCUGCACAAAGGGGUUAAUAUACAUACCCUGGUAACUUGCAAGGUUAACUCAUAAGUCAAAUGAGGUCCUCUAUGUAAAUGCAUUUUGGUAGAUGUGAAAAUGCUGGACAUGUGGUUAAUAUGGAUACACCUUGAAGGGUGGAUUUUUCCAUUAAGUGUCCCAUAGGUAUGAAUAGCUUCAUGAAGAGCUAUGAAGUAUGUAGGUAAAAAGUGACAUGGGAGAGUGAAAAUCCUGGCCUAAUUAUAACAUUCUAUACAGUGAAAACUAAAAAAAUGUAUACUCAUUUGAUAAAUCUGGCAACUCUACCCAGGCUCACUCAUUUCUGCUGCCAAAGUUCAGCUCACAUGUCAAGGAUCAAAUCACAUUUUUUCCCCAGAGUUUUCUGUUUCUCCUGGCUAGGAGAUCUUUCUCUUCACAAGAUUGAGGGAUUGGGGAGGAAGCUGUAUCCUUUAGUGUUUAAGACCUUAGACCCUGAGGUCGGAUGUCCAAGAUUUAUAGUGCAUCUCUCUUGUUAACCAUUUGUGUGAUCUAGGAUUUUAAGCUAUCUCUCUGGGCUCCAAUUUCUUCUUCUAUAUUAUGUAGGAAAAGUACUUAUGCUAUGGGAUUGUUUCGAAGAUGUGAUAAACUCAGUAGUGCUUGGCAUGUUUUCCUUCAUAGUCUCUAUCCUUCCAUCCACCACAUUUUUUAGUACACACUAUAUGAAAUGUACCCAAUAUACAGAAAUGAAAAGACAUGAACUUGAUCCUCAAGGAACUUACAAUCUAGGAUUGCAUAGAAGCUGAUAAGAUUAAAAAUAAAACCAAGUU